rnacentral:piRNA from 1 species
UGUGAUGUGCUGAGGGAAGAAGGU